UGUAGUUACAGCAUCUACCGUAAGGGAUUAAAUGGGUCACACUAACCAGCCAAACGCUGCCCCUUUGGUUAUGAAUAAAUCUUUUUCAAACCCAAAAUAAAUGGACACCAGUAACUUAUUUGCAUCCACUCUGUGUUGCCUAAUCCUUUGAAAUCCCUCUUGAAGCCAAUGCUGUGGCAAACAGUAUGACAAGAAAAGCACUUUUCUGCAUCAGAGUAGCUCACCCUUUGUCUACUGUGUAUCAGGACUUUAGAUUCUGUGUGUCAUCUGAGGCUGAAUAUGAAACACAUAACAUAUUUGCUUCUGUAUUCCCUGGAUUUGGACCUAAAGAAAAAGAGAAAGGAGAAGAAAAAAAAAUAAAAAAUGCCAGUGAAUAUUUUGAGUGUGUAUGGAUCCUGUAAAUGCUUUAUUCAGAAUGUAAAGUUUAUUUCUCCACAAUAUUGAUAUGUGUACAUAAUAUCUGUGAU